GAAGCUGACCAGACAGUCGCCGCUUCGUCGUCGUCCUUUCGGGGAGACGGGCGGAGGGGAGGAAAGUCCGGGCUCCAUAGGGCAGGGUGCCAGGUAACGCCUGGGGGGGAAACCCACGACCAGUGCAACAGAGAGCAAACCGCCGAUGGCCCACGUAAGUGGGAUCAGGUAAGGGUGAAAGGGUGCGGUAAGAGCGCACCGCGCGGCUGGUAACAGUCCGUGGCACGGUAAACUCCACCCGGAGCAAGGCCAAAUAGGGGUUCAUAAGGUACGGCCCGUACUGAACCCGGGUAGGCUGCUUGAGCCAGUGAGCGAUUGCUGGCCUAGAUGAAUGACUGUCCACGACAGAACGCGGCUUAUCGGUCAGUUUCACCU
rnacentral:RNase_P_RNA from 1 species